rnacentral:rRNA from 15 species
CUGCCCAUAAGACUGGGAUAACUCCGGGAAACCGGGGCUAAUACCGGAUAACAUUUUGAACCGCAUGGUUCGAAAUUGAAAGGCGGCUUCGGCUGUCACUUAUGGAUGGACCCGCGUCGCAUUAGCUAGUUGGUGAGGUAACGGCUCACCAAGGCAACGAUGCGUAGCCGACCUGAGAGGGUGAUCGGCCACACUGGGACUGAGACACGGCCCAGACUCCUACGGGAGGCAGCAGUAGGGAAUCUUCCGCAAUGGACGAAAGUCUGACGGAGCAACGCCGCGUGAGUGAUGAAGGCUUUCGGGUCGUAAAACUCUGUUGUUAGGGAAGAACAAGUGCUAGUUGAAUAAGCUGGCACCUUGACGGUACCUAACCAGAAAGCCACGGCUAACUACGUGCCAGCAGCCGCGGUAAUACGUAGGUGGCAAGCGUUAUCCGGAAUUAUUGGGCGUAAAGCGCGCGCAGGUGGUUUCUUAAGUCUGAUGUGAAAGCCCACGGCUCAACCGUGGAGGGUCAUUGGAAACUGGGAGACUUGAGUGCAGAAGAGGAAAGUGGAAUUCCAUGUGUAGCGGUGAAAUGCGUAGAGAUAUGGAGGAACACCAGUGGCGAAGGCGACUUUCUGGUCUGUAACUGACACUGAGGCGCGAAAGCGUGGGGAGCAAACAGGA